AUGAUUAAACCAUUUAAUCAUUCUUACUCAUCUCCAUUGUUUCUUCAAUCUCCUCUUUACACGGUGUGCGAUCCAUUAGGUUCCUUUUAGCGAGGCAGUGGGCGAUUAAAACCAUUUUACAUCGACUGUGAAUUGAAACUUACUUUCAAUUCUCCCUUUAGUGAUUACAAACGUUUAGGACUUCCACAAACCAUGAGUGACAC
rnacentral:lncRNA from 1 species